rnacentral:rRNA from 1 species
GAUGAACGCUGACAGAAUGCUUAACACAUGCAAGUCAACUUGAAUUUGGGUUUUUACCUUAGGUUUGGGUGGCGGACGGGUGAGUAACGCGUAAAGAACUUGCCUCACAGCUAGGGACAACAUUUGGAAACGAAUGCUAAUACCUAAUAUUAUGAUAAUAGGGCAUCCUAUAAUUAUGAAAGCUAUAAGCGCUGUGAGAGAGCUUUGCGUCCCAUUAGCUAGUUGGAGAGGUAACGGCUCACCAAGGCGAUGAUGGGUAGCCGGCCUGAGAGGGUGAUCGGCCACAAGGGGACUGAGACACGGCCCUUACUCCUACGGGAGGCAGCAGUGGGGAAUAUGGGACAAUGGACCGAGAGUCUGAUCCAGCAAUUCUGUGUGCACGAUGAAGUUUUUCGGAAUGUAAAGUGCUUUCAGUUGGGAAGAAACAAAUGACGGUACCAACAGAAGAAGUGACGGCUAAAUACGUG